rnacentral:rRNA from 1 species
AUUGAACGCUGGCGGCAGGCUUAACACAUGCAAGUCGAGCGAGCGGCGGCCGGGUGAGUAAUGUCUGGGAAACUGCCUGAUGGAGGGGGAUAACUACUGGAAACGGUAGCUAAUACCUCAUACCAUCAGAUGUGCCCAGAUGGGAUUAGCUAGUAGGUGGGGUAAGGGCUCACCUAGGCGACGAUCCCUAGCUGGUCUGAGAGGAUGACCAGCCACACUGGAACUGAGACACGGUCCAUACUCCGACGGGAGGAAGCAGUGGGGAAUAUUGCGCAAGGGGGGCAAGCCUGAUGCAGCCAUGCCGCGUGUGUGAAGAAGGCCUGUGGGUUGUAAAGCACUUUCAGCGAGGAGGCGUUACUCGCAGAAGAAGCACCGGCUAACUCCGUGCCAGCAGCCGCGGUAAUUC